ACGACCCCGCGAGGGGCGGGUCCGGGGGAGGAGCGGCCUGAGCAGCUCCGGGCGGAUCGGUGUGCGAUGCUUGGGGUGUUUUUGGGGGAGGUCUUAGUUUUAAUCUUUAUUGCACCUUUUGCCAAGCGCUCAGAGGUGUAAAAGGUUUAAAACUUUUCUGUUUGGCUGGGGGAGGGGGUUUGUGUUUGUGUGUAUAGAAGUUGCAGAAUCACAGAAUCGGGAUGGAAAAGACUGAGGCCAUGGAGUCCAACCUGUGACCUAACACCACCUUGUCAACUAGACCAUGGCACUGAGUGCCAUGUCCAGUCUUUCCUUAAACACCUCCAGGGAUGAUGACUCCACUACUUCCCUGGGUAGUUCAUUCCAGUGUAUAAUCACUCUGGGAAGAAAUUCCUCCUGACGUCCAAUCUGAACCUCUCCUGGCACAGCUUAAGACUGUGUCCUCUCAUCCUGUCACUAGUUGCCUGGGAGAAAAGGCCAAUCCCCACCUCCUACAACCUCCUUUCAGGUCUGUCACUACAACCUUGUGUCAAUCCAAUACUGCCCAGCACUGCAAGAACUGGGAUAAAUCAACACGGAUUAUGGACUUCAAAGUGCCAUGAGGAAUGCUGUAACAGCACCAUGGCAGCAUGGCCAAAAAGCGCAGGAAGCUGGAUUUGUGUCAGGACAGAUCAGCCCAGACAAGCCUCAUUUCUUACUUUUUCAGCUACAUAAUGGAACUUUUAUCACAAGAUAUUGCAAUAUUCCUAUAUUUACUAAACAACAGAGUUCCUUCAAGGCAAACAGUGUUCAGAGAGCUCCUGAGAACAGCUGUGAAAUUCAGACCAGUUUACCAAUUACUUUCACAAAAGAGUUGUUUUAAAUCCAUUUUCCCUUGAAGGUCUCAGAUCAGGAAGACCUCAUCCACCUAUGUCAAAGACCUCUCUGUGAUGCAAACAAAAGCACAGUAAAUGAGCAUAAUCAGGAGAAUCAUUUCAAAACUGUAAUUCUGAUCUAACUCCAUCAUUAAUGACAACACAUUCUGAUUGAGCCAUCAUCUGCCUGGGCUUAGCUAACCAGAGGUUGUGCUCUGUUACUGUGUGAAAAGAAGGAUGCACUAUCCCCACACCAAAAUGCAAAUGCUCUGGAAUAACACAGAGUCCUAAGUAUGCCAGCGCAGGAAAAUGUAGAAACUGGAAGGCCUUUGGAGAAAAUGAAGAAAGCUGUAUUGCAAAGAAAAAUAUUCUGAACACAAAAAUUAUUGUGAUGGGAUUCUUUUGCUUAUAGCAAUGAGAGCACUUUUUUGCCAAGGCAAUGAUCCUAAAUGUUCUGGGCCCCUCGGGGAAUUGCUUUAUAUGGAGUACUGCUAGCUUGCUCCAAUAGACAAGGCAUGCAGGCUGUCACAGUCACGGAUAUGAAAUUUAUCUUUCUAUAAAUGAAUUACAGGCUUAGGAAGCCAGCAAGCAUCCAAGCAUCAGAAAACAAAACUGGGAUAUAGAUCACCUAAAUUUUAAUUGAUUCCUUUGCACAGUGACCUGCCAUUUUAUUUCAGACUAAGUUCUUACACCAUCCCAAUCCCUGCGGCAUUGGCAUAGGACUCACAGGGCAGCUGAGCUGCUCAGGACCCAGAACUUUCACAAAUCUGAAAUAAAUCUUCUGAAACAGC